rnacentral:rRNA from 1 species
UACAGAGGGUGCAAGCGUUAUUCGGAAUUAUUGGGCGUAAAGAGCACGUAGGUGGCCUCUUAAGUCUGGUGUGAAAUCCCUGAACUCAAUUCAGGAAGUGCAUUGGAUACUGAGGGGCUUGAGGAUAGGAGAGGAGAGCGGAAUUCCUGGUGUAGAGGUGAAAUUCGUAGAUAUCAGGAGGAACAACAGAAGCGAAGGCGGCUCUCUGGACUAUAACUGACACUGAGGUGCGAAAGCGUGGGGAGCAAACAGG